UACGUAGGGGGCUAGCGUUGUCCGGAAUCAUUGGGCGUAAAGCGCGUGUAGGCGGCCCGGUAAGUCCGCUGUGAAAGUCGGGGGCUCAACCCUCGGAUGCCGGUGGAUACUGUCGGGCUCGAGUACGGAAGAGGCGAGUGGAACUCCUGGUAUAGCGGUGGAAUGCGCAGAUAUCAGGAAGAACACCGACGGCGAAGGCAGCUCGCUGGGACGGUACUGACGCUGAGGCGCGAAAGCGUGGGGAGCGAACAGG
rnacentral:rRNA from 1 species